GGUAACUUGUAAAUAAAUCGAUUUCGGAUUGUGAGAAGGGUCUAUUAAUUGAGAGCUCGCUUACGAAGUGUAUGUGUUUCUUGUAUAAACUGUUAAAUCACAUGGAUUAGUAAAAUAAAAUCGAUAAAGAGCACAACACGUACACUGAAAAUGCCGAAGGAUUACAAAUGCGAGGGUUUGGAAGACGUUCGAACAAAUGAAAGUAACAUAAACAUGGUUGUUCAGUUGGUGUUUGACAUUCUAUCUGGGCGACUUUGGACAUCACAAUUCAUAACAAAUUCGCACUACAUUGGACAAAAAGUCAUUACGCCGAUGGAAGAUGUAUCUUCUAAUCAACACUAUGUUUCGAUCAAUAAUACCUGUACCGUCGAAACUACCAUUGCUGAACAGCCAACUAUCAGCAUAAAUGACGAAGGACAAAGAAUCAUUACGACGAUGGAAGAUGUAUCUACAAAUCAACACUCUAUUGUGAUAAAUAAUACCUAUACAGACAAAAACACCAUUGCUGAAUAGCCUACUAUCCGCAUAAACGACGAAGAAGAAGACACAAUACCAUCCGGUCAAGAUUAUUCUGAUAGUACUGCACAGAAAAGAGAUCUAGAACUUCAUGAAGAAACAGUCCUUCGGCCAAAUAUCAACAAUCAUUCGGAAACAAUUUAUGAAAGACGUAUUCAAUACAAAUUGGAAAAGGCUGUUGAUGUUAUGGACCAGAGAUAAGAUGAUUCACUCUUAACCAUUUCACAAGAAGGAAGGGCCAUUAUUCAAGAUUUGAACAAACACAAGAGUGUUAAGUUAAAGAACAAAGGUGUCAGUGAAUACGGGGAAACUUUAUAUGCGGAUGACCGGACUACGAGGUUUAUGUUGGAGCAAGACGACGUAAUAAGUGGGAGUCCGGAACUAAGUAGUGACUGGUAUGACGAUGUAACGAUAACAGAUGAAGUGAUUGCUGAAUUUGAGAAAUUUAAGGAACAAUCUGGAUACAACGAAGUAAUGAAGAAACUUGAUAAAUCAAAUAGUAAAUGGAAACAACCGACUAUCAAUAUUGCAGUUACCGGCGAAACAGGAACUGGAAAAUCAACGUUAAUAAAUUCUUUACGAGGUUUGAAAUAUAACAAUGAUGGAGCAGCAAAGACAGGGUGUACAGAAACAACAACUAAGGUGACAUGUUAUCAACACCCAGAAUACCCGUUCCUGAAUGUUUGGGAUCUCCCUGGUGUUGGAACACCAAAUUUCACGCGCGACAAAUAUUUUUAAAUGGUCAAUUUCAAGGAUUAUGAUUUUCUGCUGCUUGUUUCGAAUUCGCGUUUUAAAGAAAACGAUUUGUGGCUGGCCAAAGAAAUCGUGAAAACAACACAAAACAUAAAUUUGUUUUUCAUUAGAUCAAAAUUUGACAACGAUUUGUACAAUUUCAAACAGGAACUACGGCAUGAUUUAAAACCAGAAAAAACCUGCUCUAAAAUUAGAAAAGACGUUGUGAUGGAUAUUAUUUACAAUCUUGGAAAAGGGGGAAUUAAAGAUGCAAGGGUGUUCUUGAUAAAUAGUCACAGAACGGAUACGUUUGAUUUUGAGAAGCUUCAAAUGUCUUUUAUCCAAACUGUGUCCGAUUUGAAACGCGAUGCAAUGAUACUUUCAUUGACCACACACAGCAAAGAAAUACUUGAAAGAAAAGUUGAUGUUUUAAGGAAACAUAUUCCUACGAUUGCACAUAGUGCAGGGUUAGCAGCAUCGCUUUCCAAAACCGAAAGCGACGAAAGACCUGAGAUAACGUUGUUACUAAAUGAAGCGCGUCUAUACGCAAUACAACUUGGGAUCAACAUAGAAUCAUUGAAUACCGUCGCCAAGAAUUUUAGAAUGGAUGUAAGUGUCAUUAAAAAAGCAGUGAACAUGCAAUCACCUGCUCUUUUGUCAUCUGAAAGAAGUUUUCUACAAUAUUACAAGACAUUUGACGAUUGUUAUCGGCAGUCUCCUGAUAAAAUAUCGUCGGGCGAUUUAGGACGCAAUGUGCAAAGUCAGUGUAAAACUGUAUUGAAAAACAUCCUAGAUAUGUGUAUAUCGGAGAGUAACAAACUGCAUUUACAAAUUGCAGAUUUGUCAGAACUGGAAUCGGCUUAAUUCAGUUGAUUUCAAACAGCCUUGCUAUGUGUCAUGAUUCACUUGGUAGUAAAAAUACCUCACUCUUAGACCCAUGCAUGCACUUUCACACAUGUUUGCAUACACAGAUACGAAAUGAGAUGACAUUUCCUCUAUUUCUCAAAUUAUUCCUCCAAAUAUUAUAACAUGUAAACAAUUUUUCAACAUGUUACGGAAAACGUUUCCAUUUAUACAUGCAGAUAAGAUUUAUAUCAUGUUUGGUCGAUAUUGAAGUUCUAUAUACCCUUAAUCGAUAUUUACGUAUUUUAGCAUGCACAAAUUAUUACUCGUCGGACUUGGUCUUAAAAUAGAUGUGAUAAAAAUUUUAUAUUAGAAAAACAAAAUGUACAUAUUAUCCAUAAAUUUUAUUAGAAAAUAUGGCGCAUACGGCUGUGUAUUUUACCGAAUAUUUUAAUGGCCCGUGUAUAAUAUUUUUACACAAUUUGAAAACAUAUGGUAGUAUUGUUAUGGACAAUCAAAUCAAAUAUCUGUAAACUCAUUUAUUCGGGUAUUUGUUAGAUAUAUAUUGAUAUUCGACUUGUACUUUCAACAGAUCGAAUUAAAACAUUUUAAUGUUU